rnacentral:rRNA from 1 species
AGGACGAGCGCUGGCGGCGCGCUUAACACAUGCAAGUCGAGCGAGAACCAGUCCUUCGGGACUGGGAAGCGGCGAACGGGUGAGUAACACGUGGGUAAUCAACCCUCAGUACCGGGAUAGCCCGAGGAAACUCGGAUUAAUACCGGAUGGCCCAACAGCUCUUCGGGGCGGUUGGAAAAGGUAGCUUCGGCCUCCGACUGAGGACGAGCCCGCGGCGGAUUAGCUUGUUGGCGGGGUAAUGGCCCACCAAGGCAACGACGGGUA